UACGUAGGGUGCAAGCGUUGUCCGGAAUUAUUGGGCGUAAAGAGCUCGUAGGCGGUUUGUCGCGUCUGCUGUGAAAACCCGAGGCUCAACCUCGGGCCUGCAGUGGGUACGGGCAGACUAGAGUGAUGUAGGGGAGACUGGAAUCCUGGUGUAGCGGUGAAAUGCGCAGAUAUCAGGAGGAACACCGGUGGCGAAGGCGGGUCUCUGGGCAACAACUGACGCUGGAGGAGCGAAAAGCGUGGGGAGCGAACAGG
rnacentral:rRNA from 1 species